rnacentral:rRNA from 1 species
GACGAACGCUGGCGGCGUGCCUAAUACAUGCAAGUUGAGCGAUGAAGAUUGGUGCUUGCACCAAUUUGAAGAGCAGCGAACGGGUGAGUAACGCGUGGGGAAUCUGCCUUUGAGCGGGGGACAACAUUUGGAAACGAAUGCUAAUACCGCAUAACAACUUUAAACAUAAGUUUUAAGUUUGAAAGAUGCAAUUGCAUCACUCAAAGAUGAUCCCGCGUUGUAUUAGCUAGUUGGUGAGGUAAAGGCUCACCAAGGCGAUGAUACAUAGCCGACCUGAGAGGGUGAUCGGCCACAGUGGGACUGAGACACGGCCCAAACUCCUACGGGAGGCAGCAGUAGGGAAUCUUCGGCAAUGGACGAAAGUCUGACCGAGCAACGCCGCGUGAGUGAAGAAGGGUUUCGGAUCGUAAAACUCGGUUGGUAGAGAAGAACGUUGGUGAGAGUGGAAAGCUCAUCAAGUGACGGUAACUACCCAGAAAGGGACGGCUAACUACGUG